UAGCAUGAAGUCAGACAAGUGAACCCGCUGAAUUUAAGCAUAUCAAAAAGGCGGGGGAGGAAAAGGGGGGGGGGGG
rnacentral:rRNA from 1 species